rnacentral:tRNA from 1 species
UUCCCUGUGGCUCAGUUGGUAGAGCAUGGUGUUUGCAACACCAGCAUGGUGUGUGCAACGCCAAGGUUGUGGGUUUGAUUCCCACGGGGGGCA